rnacentral:misc_RNA from 1 species
GAUGAAGAACGCAGCGAAAUGCGAUAAGUAGUGUGAAUUGCAGAAUUCAGUGAAUCAUCGAAUCUUUGAACGCACAUUGCGCCCCUUGGUAUUCCAUGGGGCAUGCCUGUUCGAGCGUCAUUUGUACCUUCAAGCUUUGCUUGGUGUUGGGUGUUUGUCCUGAGGGACUCGCCUUAAAGUAAUUGGCAGCCAGUGUUUGGUUUUGAAGCGCAGCACAAGUCGCGAUUCAAAGCUAUACGCCCGCUUCCACAAGCCUUUUUCACUUUUGACCUCGGAUCAGGUAGGGAUACCCGCUGAACUUAAGCUUAUCAAUAAGCGGAGGA